rnacentral:rRNA from 1 species
CGUGGUGCAAGCGUUAUCCGGAAUUAUUGGGCGUAAGAGAUGCGUAGGUGGUCAGUAAGUUUGGUGAAAUCCCCGGGCUCAACCCGGGAACUGCCAAGAAUACUCACUGACUUUGAGGGAUCAGGGGUGCUGGAACUCGUGGUGUAGUAGUAAAUGCGUUGAUAUCACGAGGAACACCAAAGGCGAAGGCAGGCACCUGGGAUUCUCCUGACACUGAGGCUCGAAAGCGUGGGAGCGAAACGGAUU